CUGGUAAUGAACUAAUCAUGUGAUUCAGGUGUGUUGACCCAGGGUGAGAUCUAAAACCUGCAGGGACACCGGCCCUCGUGGACUGAGAUUGGGGACCCCUGCUCAAGGAGCUAAAAAUGACACCACCAGAAGCACAAAGACGAGCAGCUCAGCAGACUGAAUGGAAUGUGCUUCACAAGACAUGGAGAGAGGGAGAACAGGACGGUUGCCAAAGAGAUGGUGGAGGGCAUGAACAGGUCAGUCAUUUCCAGCAGAGCGGUUGGAAGUGGGCAGGCAGGUAGAUAAGUGCAGCUGUUCCGAUCAUUUGUCAUGACAGCAGAUCAUUCACCUCCAUCCAGGCCUCAACCAGUCCAGUAUGGAAUUAUUCGAACCCACAUUGCCCACAAAAGCCCAUUGACUGGGCAGAAAUUUUACUUGGAGCUUCCAGAUGCAAAUCUCCCCUUAAAUCCCGACUUUGGGCCAGCACAUGGAGUACACUAGCUUGGUUGGUUGAUCCGUUUCAGUCGACAAGCUGAAGUAUCCUUGGGCAAGUUACUGAACCUUGAGUUUCCCACAAUGCAUCCAUUUGUGAGUGUGUGUGUGUAUGGAUGAAAACACACUUAGCCAUUCAUAGAAGCGGUGUAUGAAUGUGUCUAGGAUUGGGUGAAUAAGACUUCUAGUAGAAAGCACUUUAUGUGUUCAUCUGAAUAGAAAGGGGCUAUGUAAUUACCAGUCCAUUUACACUGGCUUGUGCCCCCUCCUUAAUAGAUGAUUUCCUUUUUCAGAGGGCCAGAAAUAACAGACCUGUGCUCUGUGGAAAGUGAUUGUCCUUACACUAUGUGUAGCCACCACCCAAAAGGCCCAUUCUUUAAAAAAAUCUAAAGCAUUGAAACCAUCUGUUCUCCUUUAGUGGAGUUUCAUUUAAACCUAUUAGGAUUUAUCCUCUGGAGACCAAGCACAGCAACAUUAAUUUCAAUUUGAAAAACAAAAUGUGAUGCUCUUCACAGUGAGGGUGUGGAUCACUACAGUCUUGACCAGUCAACAAUCAUCUGGAAAAUAUGAAUAUACGAGCCAAAUCUGACUGUAUCUUUCAGUCUGGACACAAACCUGGAUGUGGUGGACCCACCAGAUUCCCUACAAGCAUGCUUAAAGCAGUUUUUGUCAAAAGCAUGAGAACAAUAGCACGAGCGGGACUUCUUUCUGUCUUUGCACAGGCAGCAACCUCCUCCCUGUGAUUAUGAAAUAAACAGUCUUGUCGUGUA